UACAGUCCACCAGUACAGGUAUUGUGAUACAGUCUACAGUCCACUAGUACAGGUAUUGUGAUACAGUCUACAGUCCACUAGUACAGGUAUUGUGAUACAGUCCACCAGUACAGGUAUUGUGAUACAGUCCACUAGUACAGGUAUUGUGAUACAGUCCACUAGUACAGGUAUUGUGAUACAGUCUACAGUCCACUAGUACAGGUAUUGUGAUACAGUCUACAGUCCACUAGUACAGGUAUUGUGAUACAGUC